rnacentral:rRNA from 1 species
AGAGUUUGAUUAUGGCUCAGAACGAACGCUGGCGGGCAUGCCUCAUACAUGCAAGUCGAACGAAGUCUUCGGACUUAGUGGCGCACGGGUGAGUAACAUGUGGGAAUCUACCUAAAGGUUCGGAAUAACUGCGGGAAACUGUAGCUAAUACCGGAUGUGUCUGCAAAGAGAAAGAUUUAUCGCCUUUAGAUGAGCCCGCACUAGAUUAGCUAGUUGGUGAGGUAAAUGCUCCACCAAGGCUACGAUCUAUAGCUGAUUUGAGAGGAUGAUCAGCCACACUGGGACUGAGACACGGCCCAGACUCCUACGGGAGGCAGCAGUAGGGAAUAUUGGACAAUGGGGGAAACCCUGAUCCAGCAAUGCCGCGUGAGUGAAGAAGGCCCUCGGGUUGUAAAACUCUUUCAUCAAUGAUGAUAAUGACAUUAGUUGAAGAAGAAGCUCCGGCUAACUUCGUGCCAGCAGCCGCGGUAAUACGAAGGGGGCUAGCGUUGUUCGGAAUCACUGGGCGUAAAGCGUAUGUAGGCGGAUCAAAAAGUUAGAUGUGAAAUCCCUGGGCUCAACCCAGGAACUGCAUUUAAAACUAGUGAUCUAGAAUUUGGUAAGGGUUAGUAGAAUUUCCAGUGUAGAGGUGAAAUUCGUAGAUAUUGGAAAGAAUACCAGAAGCGAAGGCGACUAACUAGGCCAUUUUUGACGCUGAGAUACGAAAGCGUGGGUAGCAAACAGGAUUAGAUACCCUGGUAGUCCACGCAGUAAACGAUGAGUGCUAGUCGCUGGUGCAAUAGUAUCAGUGUCGUAGCUAACGCAUUAAGCACUCCGCCUGGGAAGUACGGUCGCAAGAUUAAAACUCAAAUAAAUUGACGGGGGCCCGCACAAGCGGUGGAGCAUGUGGUUUAAUUCGAAGCAACGCGAAGA